ACAGUGAUUGCCUGGGACUUCCACAAA
rnacentral:piRNA from 1 species